CCUACGGGAGGCUGCAGUGAGGAAUAUUGGUCAAUGGGCGUAAGCCUGAACCAGCCAUCCCGCGUGAAGGAAGAAGGCGCUAUGCGUCGUAAACUUCUUUUCCAGAGGAAUAAAAUUUCGUACGUGUACGGAACUGAAGGUACUUUGGGAAUAAGCAUCGGCUAACUCCGUGCCAGCAGCCGCGGUAAUACGGAGGAUGCGGGCGUUAUCCGGAUUUAUGGGGUUGAAAGGGUACUUAGACGGAUGAGGAGAAAACCUUCGGCUUAACUUGAGAACUGCCAUUGAUACUGUUAGUCUUGAGUACGGUCAAGGUAGGCGGAAUGUGGAAUGUAGCGGUGAAAUGCGUAGAUAUUACACAGAACACCGAUUGCGAAGGCAGCUUACUGGGCCAUUACUGACGCUGAUGCACGAAAGCGUGGGGAGCGAACAGGAUUAGAUACCCGAGUAGUC
rnacentral:rRNA from 1 species